rnacentral:misc_RNA from 1 species
CGCGAGGAAGACGAGGGCGAUCUGCCGGCUAGCCGGAAAUCGGAGAUCACAUCGAACCAGCGGAGACGACGAUGAGCGGAAGCGGCGCGAAGAAGGCGGUGGAGGUGGCGGCGAAGGCCGCCAAGGGGCUCGACUGGGACGCGAUGGCGAAGGUCUUCGUCACCGACGAGGCCCGCAAGGAGUUCGCCAACCUCCGCCGCGCCUUCAACGAGGUCAAUACCCAGCUCCAGACCAAGUUCAGCCAGGAGCCUGAG